UGCUGAUGAGUCCCACAAUAGGACGAAACGGCUGUCCA
rnacentral:hammerhead_ribozyme from 1 species